rnacentral:ncRNA from 1 species
AUAAAUGCGUUGAAAGGGAUUAGUACGUAAUCUCCUCCGUUUAGAGAGUGGAAUCCAUAGGCUGCAAGAUUUCACCGUAAAGGAAUUACCGAACCUGCCCUGGAGCAGUCUGGAGAAAUCUGGCGCAGUUCUGCGAUAAAGACAUCUUGAGCGGGCAAUUAAUAUGCCAACAAAGGUGGUACCACGGAUCACUCCCAUCCGUCCUUUAU